GAAAAGGAGGGCAUAUUUAGCCAAUUCAGAGGCAAGGUGAGGUGUGAAGGUGACCCUAUAGUUCCGAAUAGCAGUACCCCUCGUCAAAGCGAUCUUGAUUAUGGCUCUUCAAGAUUAACGAGCAAUAGUGAAGUUAUGAGGUCAUUGCCUAGUAAACGACUUUUUGGCGAAGAUAUGCUUGAUAAAUUUGUUUUCAAACGUGUGAGGCA
rnacentral:misc_RNA from 1 species